rnacentral:tRNA from 1 species
UAUUUAUUAGUUUAAAAUAAAACAUUAUAUUUUCAAUAUAAAAAUAAUUUCUUUUAUAAAUA